GUGGGGAAUUUUGGACAAUGGGCGCAAGCCUGAUCCAGCAAUGCCGCGUGCAGGAAGAAGGCCUUCGGGUUGUAAACUGCUUUUGUCAGGGAAGAAAUCUUCUGGGCUAAUACCCCGGGAGGAUGACGGUACCUGAAGAAUAAGCACCGGCUAACUACGUGCCAGCAGCCGCGGUAAUACGUAGGGUGCGAGCGUUAAUCGGAAUUACUGGGCGUAAAGCGUGCGCAGGCGGUGAUGUAAGACAGAUGUGAAAUCCCCGGGCUCAACCUGGGAACUGCAUUUGUGACUGCAUUGCUGGAGUGCGGCAGAGGGGGAUGGAAUUCCGCGUGUAGCAGUGAAAUGCGUAGAUAUGCGGAGGAACACCGAUGGCGAAGGCAAUCCCCUGGGCCUGCACUGACGCUCAUGCACGAAAGCGUGGGGAGCAAACAGGAUUAGAUACCCGAGUAGUCC
rnacentral:rRNA from 1 species